CCCAGACUCCUACGGGAGGCAGCAGUCGGGAAUAUUGCGCAAUGGAGGAAACUCUGACGCAGUGACGCCGCGUAUAGGAAGAAGGUUUUCGGAUUGUAAACUAUUGUCGUUAGGGAAGAUAAAAGACAGUACCUAAGGAGGAAGCUCCGGCUAACUCCGUGCCAGCAGCCGCGGUAAUACGGAGGAUGCGAGCGUUAUCCGGAUUUAUUGGGUUUAAAGGGUGCGCAGGCGGAAUGUCAAGUCAGCGGUAAAAUUUCGGGGCUCAACCCCGUCGUGCCGUUGAAACUGGCGUUCUUGAGUGAGCGAGAAGUAUGCGGAAUGCGUGGUGUAGCGGUGAAAUGCAUAGAUAUCACGCAGAACUCCGAUUGCGAAGGCAGCAUACCGGCGCUCAACUGACGCUCAUGCACGAAAGCGUGGGUAUCGAACAGGAUUAGAUACCCCUGUAGA
rnacentral:rRNA from 1 species